rnacentral:rRNA from 1 species
GCUUACGGCCAUAUCAGCCUGGGUACGCCCGAUCUCGUCUGAUCUCGGAAGCUAAGCAGGGUCGGGCCUGGUUAGUACUUGGAUGGGAGACCGCCUGGGAAUACCAGGUGCUGUAAGAA